UUUGACAUAACCCAUUGCGGAGGAAAAGAAACCAACCGGGAUUGCCUUAGUAACGGCGAGUGAAGCGGCAAAAGCUCAAAUUUGAAAUCUGGUACCUUUGGUGCCCGAGUUGUAAUUUGGAGAGGGCAACUUUGGGACCGUUCCUUGUCUAUGUUCCUUGGAACAGGACGUCAUAGAGGGUGAGAAUCCCGUGUGGCGAGGAGUGCGGUUCUAUGUAAAGUGCCUUCGAAGAGUCGAGUUGUUUGGGAAUGCAGCUCUAAGUGGGUGGUAAAUUCCAUCUAAAGCUAAAUAUUGGCGAGAGACCGAUAGCGAACAAGUACAGUGAUGGAAAGAUGAAAAGAACUUUGAAAAGAGAGUGAAAAAGUACGUGAAAUUGUUGAAAGGGAAGGGCAUUUGAUCAGACAUGGUGUUUUGCGCCCUCUGCUCCUUGUGGGUGGGGGAAUCUCGCAGUUCACUGGGCCAGCAUCAGUUUUGGUGGCAGGAUAAAUCCGUAGGAAUGUAACUUGCUUCGGGAAGUAUUAUAGCCUAUGGGAAUACUGCCAGCUGGGACUGAGGACUGCGACGUAAGUCAAGGAUGCUGGCAUAAUGGUUAUAUGCCGCCCGUCUUGAAACAGAGAACCAAAAAAA
rnacentral:rRNA from 1 species